rnacentral:misc_RNA from 1 species
UACGUAGGUGGCGAGCGUUGUCCGGAUUUACUGGGCGUAAGGCGCGUGCAGGCGGUUCGUUAAGUUUGAGGUGAAAGCUCCCGGCUCAACUGGGAGAGGUCCUUGGAUACUGGCGGACUUGAGGGAGGCAGAGGAGAGUGGAAUUCCCGGUGUAGUGGUGAUAUGCGUAGAUAUCGGGAGGAACACCAGUGGCGAAGGCGGCUCUCUGGGCCUUAUCUGACGCUGAGACGCGAAAGCGUGGGGAGCGAACCGG